rnacentral:rRNA from 1 species
AGCGAACGCUGGCGGCAGGCCUAACACAUGCAAGUCGAACGCGUGUAGCAAUACACGAGUGGCGCACGGGUGAGUAACGCGUGGAUAUCUGCCUUUUGGUUCGGAAUAACCCCGGGAAACUGGGGCUAAUACCGGAUGGUUCCUUCGGGAUAAAGAUUUAUCGCCAAAAGAUGAGUCCGCGUCCGAUUAGCUAGUUGGUGAGGUAACGGCUCACCAAGGCGACGAUCGGUAGCUGGUCUGAGAGGACGAUCAGCCACACUGGGACUGAGACACGGCCCAGACUCCUACGGGAGGCAGCAGUGGGGAAUAUUGGACAAUGGGGGCAACCCUGAUCCAGCCAUGCCGCGUGAGUGAUGAAGGCCUUCGGGUUGUAAAGCUCUUUUGGCGGGGACGAUGAUGACGGUACCCGCAGAAUAAGCCCCGGCUAACUUCGUGCCAGCAGCCGCCGUAACAC